GUGUUACACUUGAUCGUUGAAUUCAGGUAAGCUUUAUGUUGAAAAAAUUAUUUGUUGAUGCC
rfam:Picea glauca, whole genome shotgun sequence.